AUUCCCUUGGGAAGGUCCUAAAUUCUUAUGUCCCUUUGAAAUUGGCAUCACAUAAUGAUGCUGCCUCAUUAACCUGUGAAAAAGAAAGUCAACAUUUGAAGACGACUUCUACUGACGCCUCCACCAGAUUAGCCGCUGUCGACAAUUUUGGCUCCGAGGUCCCUAAGACUGGAAAUUCAGAGCAAGAUAUGUUGAAAGAAGGAGACUAUCUAGGCGAUAGCUAUGUUGAAACUGGGAUCAAUGGACAUUCUCCGAAAGUUGAUGAGUACUGCAACAACAAU
rnacentral:lncRNA from 1 species